AAUGAAACAUUGAGAAGGAUCAGUAGAAUGUUCCGGUCACUUUUUAGAGAGGGAGCUCCAGGCUGCAAGGCUCCUAUUGGCUGCCGUUCGAACCUGCCUUUGAGUUCUGUAGCACAUACAGCGGUUCAAACCGUUAUCAUGAUACGAGUGUAAAGCUUUGCUUUGAAUUAGGGUGGUACCGCCAGUGUUCUGGUCCCUAAC
rnacentral:ncRNA from 1 species